GACGAACGCUGGCGGCGUGCUUAACACAUGCUUUUCGAACGGAAAGGCCCUGCUUUUGUGGGGUGCUCGAGUGGCGAACGGGUGAGUAACACGUGAGUAACCUGCCCUUGACUUUGGGAUAACUUCAGGAAACUGGGGCUAAUACCGGAUAGGAGCUCCUGCCGCAUGGUGGGGGUUGGAAAGUUUCGGCGGUUGGGGAUGGACUCGCGGCUUAUCAGCUUGUUGGUGGGGUAGUGGCUUACCAAGGCUUUGACGGGUAGCCGGCCUGAGAGGGUGACCGGCCACAUUGGGACUGAGAUACGGCCCAGACUCCUACGGGAGGCAGCAGUGGGGAAUAUUGCACAAUGGGCGGAAGCCUGAUGCAGCAACGCCGCGUGCGGGAUGACGGCCUUCGGGUUGUAAACCGCUUUCGCCUGUGACGAAGCGUGAGUGACGGUAAUGGGUAAAGAAGCACCGGCUAACUACGUGCCGGCAGCCGCGGUGAUACGUAGGGUGCGAGCGUUGUCCGGAUUUAUUGGGCGUAAAGGGCUCGUAGGUGGUUGAUCGCGUCGGAAGUGUAAUCUUGGGGCUUAACCCUGAGCGUGCUUUCGAUACGGGUUGACUUGAGGAAGGUAGGGGAGAAUGGAAUUCCUGGUGGAGCGGUGGAAUGCGCAGAUAUCAGGAGGAACACCAGUGGCGAAGGCGGUUCUCUGGGCCUUUCCUGACGCUGAGGAGCGAAAGCGUGGGGAGCGAACAGGCUUAGAUACCCUGGUAGUCCACGCUGUAAACGGUGGGUACUAGGUGUGGGGUCCAUUCCACGGGUUCCGUGCCGUAGCUAACGCUUUAAGUACCCCGCCUGGGGAGUACGGCCGCAAGGCUAAAACUCAAAGGAAUUGACGGGGCCCCGCACAAGCGGCGGAGCAUGCGGAUUAAUUCGAUGCAACGCGUAGAACCUUACCUGGGUUUGACAUGGAUCGGGAGUGCUCAGAGAUGGGUGUGCCUCUUUUGGGGUCGGUUCACAGGUGGUGCAUGCCUGUCGUCAGCUCGUGUCGUGAGAUGUUGGGUUAAGUCCCGCAACGAGCGCAACCCUUGUUCACUGUUGCCAGCACGUUAUGGUGGGGACUCAGUGGAGACCGCCGGGGUCAACUCGGAGGAAGGUGGGGAUGACGUCAAGUCCUCAUGCCCCUUAUGUCCAGGGCUUCACGCAUGCUACAAUGGCUGGUACAGAGAGUGGCGAGCCUGUGAGGGUGAGCGAAUCUCGGAAAGCCGGUCUCAGUUCGGAUUGGGGUCUGCAACUCGACCUCAUGAAGUCGGAGCCGCUAGUAAUCGCAGAUCAGCAACGCUGCGGUGAAUAAAUUCCCGGGGCU
rnacentral:rRNA from 1 species